rnacentral:rRNA from 1 species
UACGUAGGGUGCAAGCGUUGUCCGGAAUUAUUGGGCGUAAAGAGCUCGUAGGCGGUUUGUCGCGUCUGCUGUGAAAACCCGAGGCUCAACCUCGGGCCUGCAGUCGAUACGGGCAAACUAGAGUACUGCAGGGGAGACUGGAAUUCCUGGUGUAGCGGUGAAAUGCGUAGAGAUCAGGAAGAACACCAGUGGCGAAGGCGCUCUGCUAGGCCGUAACUGACGCUGAGGGACGAAAGCGAGGGGAGCGAAUGGG